CCUCACUCCCAUCCAUACACUCACACACCCAGCCUCCCACCUUUAAUGUGUGUGGAUGGGACUAAGGUUUUCUCAUUUCUUUCAGAUUGUGCGCCUCCGAGGUGAACGUCUGACUGAAGUGAACGUGUGGCUGGUCGAGAACUCCUCCAAACAGGUAAAGUACUUAUGACAAUAUAUAAUGUCUAUAUGCAAGUAUUUAUGAAUGUUAUGUUUUAAAGUUUUUUGUAUUCCAGGUUUGUUUGUGUGGCUGACUGGACCUACUACAAGGUGCUUCUUGGAGGUAAUAAAGAUACAUCAGUGAUGGUGAGGCCGUCACAUUACCAGCGGUUGUGGAUUUCACAAUUCAACCUUUAUAUUGCAGACUCCACAUAAGGUAAAACACUUCCAUUCAGCAAUUGGUGUGCAGUGUCCAGAUUGUCAACAUUUAGUUCAGUAUGAUGUUACUUCUGGCCAGCUUAACCUGAGGAGAAAGUCAGUACAGUACACGAUUAGAUUUUGAAAAGGAAACUGCAAAGUACGUAAGCUAUUGAUUUUUAAUAAUUUAAACAAGUGAAAUUUUUUAACUUUCUGAAUUCAUGAUCAGUUAACUUGUGGCAAAUUUUAAGUUACAUUCUUUAAUAUAUUUGUUAUCCAAUAUAUAAACUAUAUAAUAGGUAACUUAAUAUUAAUUUGGGUUAGUCUAGAUUAGUUACAUUUAAUCUAUGUUAGGCUGAUUAGGUUAGUUAAUUUGUUAGUUAAAACCCACCUACUAACAACCAGCUUUACUUACUAUUAAUCACAUUACUACUACUAAUGCUCACCAAUACUGUAACUAAUUGCCAUUUAGUCCUGUACAUUUUUAUAGCACUUUAUUAAGCUUUCCCAAAUCUCUGCAGCUAAUCUUAAUUUGACUCCCAGCUCAGUUUAUCUAGACACAGCUCUCCAGAGCCCGUUGUAAAAUUGCAGUUUCGUCGAAUAUGCCCUCGUAGUUUAGAAAUUCGUUUAUCCUGUGUAUUUUGGGUCGAUUCAAUGAAAUGUGGCCUUUAUUUCCAGGGGAAAGCACCCUCUUUAGAAUUAUAUCCCCCCCCCCAAAAAAGCAUGGAAAUCUUUAAAACUCCUUUCUGACAUUCUUUGCUCCCUGGUUAAAAUGGUGUUAGAAAUACUCCAAUAAGGAGAUCUAAAGGUUGGGGAUGGUUAAAAGUCAGGCAUGUACUGGCCGAAA